UACGUAGGGUGCGAGCGUUUAAUCGGAAUUACUGGGCGUAAAGUGUGCGCAGGUGGCCGCGCAAGUCGAGUGUGAAAUCCCCGAGCUUAACUUGGGAAUUGCGCUCGAAACUACGUGGCUCGAGUGUGGCAGAGGAAGGUGGAAUUCCACGUGUAGCGGUGAAAUGCGCAGAUAUCAGGAGGAACACCGAUGGCGAAGGCAGGUCUCUGGGCAUUAACUGACGCUGAGGAGCGAAAGCAUGGGGAGCGAACAGG
rnacentral:rRNA from 1 species